rnacentral:rRNA from 1 species
GAUGAACGCUAGCGGCAGGCCUAACACAUGCAAGUCGAGGGGCAGCACAUAAAGUGGUUUACUACUUUUGGUGGCGACCGGCGGACGAGUGCGUAACGCGUAUGCAACCUGCCUCCAACAGGGGGAUAACGGAGAGAAAUUUCCACUAAUACCCCAUAAUAUCAGAAUCGGCAUCGGUGUUGGUUGAAAACUCCGGUGGUUGGAGAUGGGCAUGCGUUUUAUUAGAUAGUUGGUGAGGUAACGGCUCACCAAGUCAACGAUACAUAGGGGGACUGAGAGGUUAGCCCCCCACACUGGUACUGAGACACGGACCAGACUCCUACGGGAGGCAGCAGUGAGGAAUAUUGGUCAAUGGGGGCAACCCUGAACCAGCCAUGCCGCGUGCAGGAAGACGGCUCUAUGAGUUGUAAACUGCUUUUACAAGGGGAUAAAUCGGUGUACGUGUACACCGUUGAAGGUACCUUGGGAAUAAGGAUCGGCUAACUCCGUGCCAGCCGCCGCGGUAA